rnacentral:lncRNA from 1 species
UGAUUGGUCACUGCUCGCGCGAUCUCCUGGGUGACGGGAACGCGUUAGCUCUUUUGGAGCAGACCAGGUGCGCCUGCGCAUUUGCCAGAUCGCGCGGCCGCUGGAGCCUUGAGAUGAAGGUAAAUAACUUAGGGGGCGGGAAAACGCGACCACUGGCUUUUAGCUCGAGGAGCCACUUUGAGGAUAGGGGCCUGUGUCCCCCUCCGUCCUCCAGAGUGCGUUAGGAAUGGGGAAGAGAGCUGGGUGAGCGGGGAGGGGGAAAGCGGGGGCGAAGUUGAGGGAAGGAGGGGAAAGGAAAGAAAAUUGGAGAGGCGGAGAGGGAGGCCUCAUUUCUGGGACCGCGCACGGAGUUGAAGCGGUGCGAGCAGAGGCAACCCGGACGCGGCCUGAAAUGAACAGUCUGGGUCAGAGAAGACCUCGAACUUCGCACCGCGGAAAGAACGCGUAUUUUCUCACUGCUAGAAAAGACUUGGCUUGGCGCACCGAUACAGUUCACCUGGCAAAAAACAUCAGGAAACUACCUUGCAGUAACAGGAGCUGAUCAUAUUGUGAAAAUCUUUGAUCGCCAUGGUCAAAAAAGAAGUGAAAUUAACUUACCUGGGUAAGUACAGAGGUGGGUCAAAAACUUUUUCAAGCUUUCUUCCUAAAAGGUAAAAAGUAUUGCCUUAAAGCUGUAAUCAGAUAGGAUUUUACAACUC